rnacentral:lncRNA from 1 species
UGCCAGCUUCACCAGGCAAGAUUUACUCCUGGUGUUUUCCCAGGAGGCCAGCGGGGCUGGCAGCUGGCAGGGAGCAGAGCGUCCCUGCUGCCUCCAGCCCGGCUGCCUCCCUCUUUCCUGCAGCUGAGGAGCUCAUCUCCCUCGCCCAAGGCGCUCCAUCCUCCUCCAGAUAUUUUAGGCCCAGGUUUUGCAAGGAAUGUUCAGGCGCUGAGCCCAAGCCGAUGCGCUGAAGUCAGCAGGAGGCGAAGAGGGAAGAGGAAAGAGGGAAGAGGGAAGAGAGAAGAAGGGAGAGUGUGCGUGGGGUUUAAGGCCCUGGAGGCAGCAGCAGCAGCUGAGGGAUAGGAUGGGAUGGCAUGGCAUGGCACGGCACUCCUUCUGCCUGGAUCUGCUUUAGCCGUGGGAAGGGCAGAGGAUUGGAGCUGGAGAGUGCCAGGACUGCUUCGCUCUCCCUCUGAGAGGAUCAAUACCACAUUCUGCCUCUCCUCUGUCUCCCUGCAUUUUGCCAGGGCAGGCUGCACCAACACUCUCCCUCCGGCAUGCCAUGGGAUUUGGAAUGGGAAGGGGGAUCCCCAACGCUUUCAGUCCCCUUCACUGGGGAGGGGAAGGAGGUAUUUUUGCCAAGGUGGUGUGUCCCCUGCCAACACCUGCACCUCAGCACCCAGGAUCUCCAAGCCAGCCUCAUCCCUGUACAGCAAUCCUUGCCUCCACACCAAAGCCUUCCUGUGCACAUCAAUACCUGUCUGUACUAAACGCUGCCAGUACAGCAAACCCUGCCUGCAAACUAAACUCUGCCAUGCACACCAAUCCCUGCCUACACCCCCUGUCUUGUACACCAAACUACCUGCACACCAAACCUUGCCAGCACACCAAACCCUCCGUGCACGCCGGUGUCUGCCUGUGCACCAAAGCCUGUCCUCACACCCUACCUGCACAUCAAACCCUGCCUGCACAGCCAACGCUCCCAACGCUGCCCUUGCAGGUGCUGACACCUCCUACUCACGCUCCCCUUCCUGCCCGCACCCCCCUGACCCCCGGCAUCGCCCCGAGCACCCGGAGCCUGCCCACUGCCACCCGGCCACCAGGGCAGCUCAUCACCCCUCUGAGCCCGGCUCGGGGGCCGGGGGCCGUCUCGCAUCGCCGAGGGAGUCCCCGGCACAGGCAGCCCCUGUCACGGCCUCGCUGGCACGCCGCGCCCGACGUGCUCCGACAGGUGAGCCCCCGGGGCAGCGUUCCUGCCCGGGCCGGCAACUGUCCCCACCGGGCAGCCGGUUUGCCGGCAUGUUCCUUCCCAGCACGUCCCUCCCUCCUUCCCUCCAUAGCCAGCCUCUCUCGGCCGGCGAAAGGGGGGAGCCGACAGAUUUUAAUGAGCUCCCCGGAGGCAUCGCUCCGCACCCCCCAU